CAAAAUGUGGCGUCUGUCUAGCGGUAUUAAAGUUUACGUAUAUUUAAAUAGUUUUCUGAUAAUUUAUAUACUAAAUGUCUGGAUAUGGUGUGUAGUGUAGUGAUUGUAAUGUGGUUAUACAAGGCCUGAGACUAGGUUUGUGAUAUAAUUAGAAUUGACAAUGUCGAAUGAAAUGGCGGUUGGUGAUAAGGUGUCAAAGGAUGCUACUGUUUGUAGUGAUGAGGUUGUAGAAGAGGCUACACAUACUGAACAGGUUUCACAACCCUCCUCAGUCCUCAGAUGCUUUGAUGGAGGGAUCUAAUCAAGAAGCCAAGCCUGGUUUGUAUGUUGGCCAAAACAUAACCUAACAUAUCUGUUGACAUCUUGAUCAUUAUUUAGUAAUAGCAAAAAUUUAUCCUAACAUUGUAUAAAUAUAAUGUUAAUAUUCAUCAGCUAUCAUGGUAUUGGUUAUAUGUGAAUUAUGGCAUAAAGAAACAACUUUAACCCAAAAUCUGUCUUCACUAAAAGAGGAUUUGGCCAAGGCCGAUCAAGCUCUGUGGUCUAGAGAGCCAAUAUUAAACGGACGAGACAGUGUCCGCAAAGUGCUCGAGACAUUCCAGGAGCGAGGUGGGGAAUGGGCUGGGAUCGCGACUCAGAAUUCUACUAAAUUAUGCAUGAAGAAAAUGCACUUAACCACUCUAUAUACAUAUCGUCUUCCGACGCUCUGCAGGGCCGCGCCGACUCCCGGCAGCGCCUGUGUGCGAAACCCAUGAAGCGCCUCCAGCAAGCGGGUUCCCCGUAUCAGUGCGCUGCUCGAGUCGACGACGCGAGAGCACGUUUAAUAUUUUUUUAAAUCAUUCUGUCAUAUGUCAUUGUAUUAAGUCAAUAUUAAUAAAUAGUGGUGUUCUGUAAAA